rnacentral:rRNA from 1 species
CCUACGGGUGGCAGCAGUAGGGAAUUUUGCUCAAUGCUGGAAACCCUGACGCCGCGACGCCGCGUGGAUGACGAAGGCCUUCUGAUCGUAAACUUCUUUUGUCAGAGAAGAUACUGCCUGUAUCUAACUAAUUAUCUCUUGCCAAUUCCGUUCUAGCCGCCCCGGUCUUACGGAGGGUGCGCGCGCUCCUCGGUAUCACUGGGCGGAAAGAGCACGUAGGCGGGAUAGCAAGUCAGAAGUGAAAUCCUAUGUCUUAACCAUAGUACUGCCAGUGAUACUAUUAUUCUAGAGUAUGAGAGAGGUAGGUAGAAUUCUUGGUGUAGGGGUAAAAUGCGUAGAGAUCAAGAGGAAUACUCAUUGCGAAGGCGACCUGCUAGAACGUAACUGACGCUGAUGCGCGAAAGCGUGGGGAGCAAACAGGAUUAGAUACCCUAGUAGUC